rnacentral:rRNA from 1 species
UGGUGGAGCGAUUUGUCUGGUCAAUUCCGAUAACGAGCGAGACUUUAGCCUACUAAAUAGUUCGGGGACCCCCACAAAGGGGCCCCGCUUCAACUUCUUAGAGGGACAGGUGGCGUUUAGCCACACGAGAUUGAGCAAUAACA